CCUACGAGUGGCAGCAGUGAGGAAUAUUGGUCAAUGGACGGAAGUCUGAACCAGCCAUGCCGCGUGCAGGAAGACGGCUCUAUGAGUUGUAAACUGCUUUUGUACAAGGGUAAACCUGAAUAAGUGUAUUAAGCUGAAAGGACUGGACGAAUAAGGAUCGGCGACGUCCGUGCCAGCAGCCGCGGUAAUACGGAGGAACCAAGCGUUAUCCGGAUUUAUUGGGUUUAAAGGGUGCGUAGGCGGAUUGAUAAGUUAGAGGUGAAAUGUCCGAGCUUAACUCGGGAACUGCGUCUAAUAAUGUUGAUCUAGAGAGUAGAUGCGGUAGGCGGAAUGUAUGGUGUAGCGGUGAAAUGCUUAGAGAUCAUACAGAACACCGAUUGCGAAGGCAGCUUACCAAUCUAUAUCUGACGUUGAGGCACGAAAGCGUGGGGAGCAAACAGGAUUAGAUACCCUGGUAGUC
rnacentral:rRNA from 1 species